GGCCAUUCUUCAACGGAUAUUAUACAACAAGAUUAUCCAUGUUCCACAUAUACCUUUCCGAGAAAUCUUGGAAAAAAUUGUUCCUGAUGAUCCAGAUAUGAAAUGGGGGGUACCUGCAGUAUCAUAUCCACGUUUUGUACCGCUGCUGCAAUUUGGUUGUUAUAGUAAAACUGUAAUGUCUGGGUUGGUUAUCUCCAUUGGCG
rnacentral:misc_RNA from 1 species